UGUGAACUCGAAGAGUAGGGCGGGACACGUGGUAUCCUGUCUGAAUAUGGGGGGACCAUCCUCCAAGGCUAAAUACUCCUGACUGACCGAUAGUGAACCAGUACCGUGAGGGAAAGGCGAAAAGAACCCCGGCGAGGGGAGUGAAAAAGAACCUGAAACCGUGUACGUACAAGCAGUGGGAGCCUCUUUAUGGGGUGACUGCGUACCUUUUGUAUAAUGGGUCAGCGACUUAUAUUCUGUAGCAAGGUUAACCGUAUAGGGGAGCCGAAGGGAAACCGAGUCUUAACUGGGCGUUAAGUUGCAGGGUAUAGACCCGAAACCCGGUGAUCUAGCCAUGGGCAGGUUGAAGGUUGGGUAACACUAACUGGAGGACCGAACCGACUAAUGUUGAAAAAUUAGCGGAUGACCUGUGGCUGGGGGUGAAAGGCCAAUCAAACCGGGAGAUAGCUGGUUCUCCCCGAAAGCUAUUUAGGUAGCGCCUCGUGAACUCAUCUUCGGGGGUAGAGCACUGUUUCGGCUAGGGGGCCAUCCCGGCUUACCAACCCGAUGCAAACUACGAAUACCGAAGAAUGUUAUCACGGGAGACACACGGCGGGUGCUAACGUCCGUCGUGAAGAGGGAAACAACCCAGACCGCCAGCUAAGGUCCCAAAGUCAUGGUUAAGUGGGAAACGAUGUGGGAAGGCACAGACAGCCAGGAUGUUGGCUUAGAAGCAGCCAUCAUUUAAAGAAAGCGUAAUAGCUCACUGGUCGAGUCGGCCUGCGCGGAAGAUGUAACGGGGCUAAACCAUGCACCGAAGCUGCGGCAGCGACACUAUGUGUUGUUGGGUAGGGGAGCGUUCUGUAAGCCGUUGAAGGUGUGCUGUGAGGCAUGCUGGAGGUAUCAGAAGUGCGAAUGCUGACAUAAGUAACGAUAAAGCGGGUGAAAAGCCCGCUCGCCGGAAGACCAAGGGUUCCUGUCCAACGUUAAUCGGGGCAGGGUGAGUCGACCCCUAAGGCGAGGCCGAAAGGCGUAGUCGAUGGGAAACAGGUUAAUAUUCCUGUACUUGGUGUUACUGCGAAGGGGGGACGGAGAAGGCUAUGUCAGCCGGGCGACGGUUGUCCCGGUUUAAGCAUGUAGGCGGAGGUUCCAGGUAAAUCCGGUACCUUAUUAACGCUGAGGUGUGAUGACGAGGCACUACGGUGCUGAAGUGAUAAAUGCCCUGCUUCCAGGAAAAGCCUCUAAGCAUCAGGUAACACGAAAUCGUACCCCAAACCGACACAGGUGGUCAGGUAGAGAAUACCAAGGCGCUUGAGAGAACUCGGGUGAAGGAACUAGGCAAAAUGGUGCCGUAACUUCGGGAGAAGGCACGCUGAUA
rnacentral:rRNA from 1 species